UUUAAUCCAAUGAACAAGAUUAAGUAGUUAAAUCCUUUUAUAGAGAGAAUACGUCUGGUGAAAGUAUUUAAAGGAUCAUUACGGGACACUUGGGAGGAGUUACUUUGAAAUCUAGUAGGAGUAAACGUCUGUCGCGUUAAGACAUAAGAGCGUGUUAUUUAACACGAAUUAAGGUGGUACCGCGUUAACUAACGUCCUUAUU
rnacentral:ncRNA from 1 species